CAGUGACCCGAUGUCCCCAGAGCCACUGUCACCUCCAUGUCCCCUCUUGGUGCCACUGUCACCCUGAUGUCCCCAAGGCCACCAGCACUCAAUGUCCCCAAGGCCUUGUGUCCCCUCCUGGUGUCACCAUUGUCCCGAUGUCCCCGAGGUCGCUGUCACCCCAAAGUCCCCAAGGCCACCAUUGACCCAAUGUCGCCAGAGCCACUGUCACCUCAGUGUCCCCUCCUGGUGCCGCCAAUGCCUUGAUGUCCCCAAGGCCACCAUGGCCCCAAUGUCCCCAAGGCCACCAUGGCCCCGAUGUCCCCAAGGCCAUUGUCACUGCAGUGUCACCGCUGGUCUCGUGUCCUCUCCUGGUGCCACCAUCGCCUCCGUGUCCCCGAGGCCACCACGGCCCCGAUGUCCCCGACGCCACCAUCACUGACCCGAUGUCCCCUCCCGGUGUCACCCUUGUCCCUCUGUCCCCUCCCCCAGUGACCAAAAUCCGUUUUUUUCACUCAUUUUUAUUCAUUGCCUUUGUUGGGGACAUUUGGGGACAAUUGGGGACAUUUGGGGACAUUUUGGGGCCAUUUUGGGGCCAUUUGGGGCCAUUUUGGGGACAUUUUGGGACAAUUUUGGGACAUUUUAGGGACAUUUGGGGGACGUUUUGGGGACAUUUUUGGCCAUUUAAGGAUAUUUAGGGACAUUUGGGGACAAUUUCGGGACAUUUGGGGACAUUUUGGGGUCAUUUUGGGGACAUUUGGGGACAAUUGGGGGACAAUUUGGGACAAUUUCGGGACAUAUUGGGGCCAUUUGGGGACAUUUUUGGACAUUUUAGGGACAUUUGGGGACAUUGGGGACAUUUUAGGGACAUUUGGGGACAUUUUUGGCCAUUUAAGGAUAUUUAGGGACAUUUGGGGACAAUUGGGGGCAUUUGGGGACACUCUGGGGACAUUUGGGGCCAUCUGGGGACACUUUGGGGCCGCUUGGUGACAUCUCAGGCUCCUGCGGAGAGAGGGGCGGGCUCAGGGGGUGGCCGUGUCCCCAAGGUGUCCCCAAGGUGUCCCCAAGGUGUCCCCGGGGGGGGAGGGGACACUCACCUGUCCCGGCCGGGGGUGGCGGCUCCGGGCGGCGGCGGCUGCGGGGCGCGGCGCGGUGUCACCAAAUGCCACCCGGGUGG
rnacentral:lncRNA from 14 species